rnacentral:rRNA from 1 species
GUAGCUGGUCUGAGAGGAUGACCAGCCACACUGGAACUGAGACACGGUCCAGACUCCUACGGGAGGCAGCAGUGGGGAAUAUUGGACAAUGGGGGCAACCCUGAUCCAGCAAUGCCGCGUGUGUGAAGAAGGCCUGAGGGUUGUAAAGCACUUUCAGUGGGGAGGAGGGAUGAUUGGUUAAGAGCUGAUUAWUUGGACGUUACCCACAGAAGAAGCACCGGCUAACUCCGUGCCAGCAGCCGCGGUAAUACGGAGGGUGCGAGCGUUAAUCGGAAUUACUGGGCGUAAAGGGUGCGUAGGUGGUURRUUAAGUUAUSUGUGAAAUCCCUGGGCUUAACCUGGGCAGGUCAGAUAAUACUGGUUGACUCGAGUAUGG